rnacentral:tRNA from 1 species
GAGGUUGUGGCUCAGUAGUACAGCGCUUGCCUUGCAUGCAUGAGGCACUGGGUUCGAUUCUUAGCACCACA